rfam:Apaloderma vittatum contig26468, whole genome shotgun sequence.
GGCCGGUUAGCUCAGUCGGUUAGAGCGUGGUGCUGAUAACACCAAGGCCAAGGGUUCGAUCCCCAUUUGGUCCC